UGCAGUCGAGCGGUAACAUUUCUAGCUUGCUAGAAGAUGACGAGCGGCGGACGGGUGAGUAAUGCUUGGGAAUAUGCCUUAUGGUGGGGGACAACAGUUGGAAACGACUGCUAAUACCGCAUAAUGUCUACGGACCAAAGGGGGGGAUCUUCGGACCUCUCGCCAUUUGAUUAGCCCAAGUGAGAUUAGCUAGUUGGUGAGGUAAUGGCUCACCAAGGCGACGAUCUCUAGCUGGUUUGAGAGGAUGAUCAGCCACAUUGGGACUGAGACACGGCCCAGACUCCUACGGGAGGCAGCAGUGGGGAAUAUUGCACAAUGGGCGCAAGCCUGAUGCAGCCAUGCCGCGUGUGUGAAGAAGGCCUUCGGGUUGUAAAGCACUUUCAGUAAGGAGGAAAGGGAUGUAGUUAAUAACUGCAUUCUGUGACGUUACUUACAGAAGAAGCACCGGCUAACUUCGUGCCAGCAGCCGCGGUAAUACGAGGGGUGCAAGCGUUAAUCGGAAUUACUGGGCGUAAAGCGUUCGUAGGCGGUUGAUUAAGCAAGAUGUGAAAGCCCAGGGCUCAACCUUGGAACUGCAUUUUGAACUGGUCAACUAGAGUACUGUAGAGGGUGGUGGAAUUUC
rnacentral:rRNA from 1 species